rnacentral:rRNA from 1 species
GAUGAACGCUGGCGGCGUGCCUAACACAUGCAAGUCGAACGGAGAUUUAACGCUGAUGAGACUUCGGUCAAUUCUUGUUAAAUCUUAGUGGCGGACGGGUGAGUAACGCGUGGGCAACCUGCCUCGUACUGGGGGAUAACAGUUGGAAACGACUGUUAAUACCGCAUAAGCGCACGGUGUCGCAUGACACAGUGUGAAAAACUCCGGUGGUACGAGAUGGGCCCGCGUCAGAUUAGCCAGUUGGUGGGGUAACGGCCUACCAAAGCAACGAUCUGUAGCCGGACUGAGAGGUCGGACGGCCACAUUGGGACUGAGACACGGCCCAAACUCCUACGGGAGGCAGCAGUGGGGGAUAUUGCACAAUGGGCGAAAGCCUGAUGCAGCGACGCCGCGUGAGUGAAGAAGUAUUUCGGUAUGUAAAGCUCUAUCAGCAGGGAAGAAAGACCCGCAAG